rnacentral:rRNA from 1 species
UACGAAGGGGGCUAGCGUUGCUCGGAAUUACUGGGCGUAAAGUGUGCGCAGGCGGCCGAGCAAGUCGAGUGUGAAAGCCCCGGGCUUAACUUGGGAAUUGCGCUCGAAACUACUUGGCUGGAGUGUGGCAGAGGAAGGUGGAAUUCCACGUGUAGCGGUGAAAUGCGUAGAGAUGUGGAGGAACACCAAUGGCGAAGGCAGCCUUCUGGGCCAACACUGACGCUCAUGCACGAAAGCGUGGGGAGCAAACAGG